rnacentral:rRNA from 1 species
AAGGCGACUGCGGCAUGAUCAUUAUUGAAUAAACUUGGUUAGGUUGUUGCUGGCUCUUAGGAGCAUGUGCACGCCGACUCCAUUUUUAACCACCUGUGCACCUUGCGUAGAUCUGAUGCUCUCGAGGCAACUCGGUUUGAGAAUUGCUGUGCAAUAAAAGGCCAGCUCUUCUUGUAUUCAGGUCUAUGUUUCUACAUACCCCACAUGAAUGUAUUUUGAAUGUCGUCAUUGGCCUUGUGCCUUUAAAAACAAAUACAACUUUCAACAACGGAUCUCUUGGCUCUCGCAUCGAUGAAGAACGCAGCGAAAUGCGAUAAGUAAUGUGAAUUGCAGAAUUCAGUGAAUCAUCGAAUCUUUGAACGCACCUUGCGCUCCUUGGUAUUCCGAGGAGCAUGCCUGUUUGAGUGUCAUGAAAUUCUCAACCUCUCUAGUUUUUUGAACUGGUUAGGCUUGGAUUUUGGAAGUUGCUGGCUCACUAUGAAUCAGCUCUUCUUAAAUAUAUUAGCGAAGAUCUUUGCUGCUCAUCAUUGGUAUGAUAAUUAUCUAUAUCAUUGAUAACCAGUGUCCCUCACGGGAGAGGUCUUGCUUCUAAUAGUCUUUUUAAAGACAAUCUGAUAACUUUUGACCUCAAAUCAGGUAGGACUACCCGCUGAACUUAAGCAUAUCAAAAGC